CAAAGAGCGAUGACGGGAAGAAGACAUGGCACUCCCUCUCAGAGAGUUGGCGCCCGGUGCGAGCCAAUGUGCGGAGGUCAUGUGUAUACUGGUCCCUGAGCUGUCUGCCUGAACGCGAGUAAGGCGGACCGUCCGGCCACGUUACCGGCCACGGCCUUGUUGGAGGCCAUCGAGGGCUGUCGGGAAACUGACUGCCGAAUCAGGGUGGUACCGCGUAAGUUUACGCCCCUGAC
rnacentral:ncRNA from 1 species